rnacentral:rRNA from 1 species
AACUCUGGGCGGUGGAUCACUCGGCUCGUGAGUCGAUGAGAAGAGCGCAGCCAGCUGCGUGAAUUAAUGUGAAUUGCAGGACACAUGAGCAUCGAUACCUUGAACGCACAUUGCGGCCUCGGGUCAGUCCCGGGGGCCACGCCUGACUGAGGGUCG